GCGUUGUUCGGAAUUACUGGGCGUAAAGCGCACGUAGGCGGAUCAGAAAGUAUGAGGUGAAAUCCCGGGGCUCAACCCCGGAACUGCCUUGUAAACUCCUGGUCUUGAGUUCGAGAGAGGUGAGUGGAAUUCCGAGUGUAGAGGUGAAAUUCGUAGAUAUUCGGAGGAACACCAGUGGCGAAGGCGGCUCACUGGCUCGAUACUGACGCUGAGGUGCGAAAGUGUGGGGAGCAAACAGGAUUAGAUACCCUGGUAGUCCACGCCGUAAACGAUGUCAACUAGCCGUUGGGACACUUGAUGUCUUAGUGGCGCAGCUAACGCGAUAAGUUGACCGCCUGGGGAGUACGGUCGCAAGAUUAAAACUCAAAUGAAUUGACGGGGGCCCGCACAAGCGGUGGAGCAUGUGGUUUAAUUCGAAGCAACGCGCAGAACCUUACCAACCCUUGACAUCCUAGGACCGGCCCCAGAGAUGGGUCUUUCACUUCGGUGACCUAGUGACAGGUGCUGCAUGGCU
rnacentral:rRNA from 1 species